AUUCUGUAGAGAGCCACUGGGUGCAUGGGAGUGAAAUCAUUAGCCACAGCGCUAUAGCGAAGGCUAGAUAUUACGGAUACUUCUCAGUCAUCUGCUCUUCCUCCAGGCAUUACUGGCACAAUGGGGAUAGCCUGAGAGCCCUCCUGCUCACACAGCCCAGCCCAGGGUUUAGAACGGGGAGAUGAAACAGACCAGGUGACUGAGAUGGAGUGCCCACGUCAGCACGGACAGCGUUCAGGGCCAUGGACCUAUCCGAGUCACUAUGCGCGCAAACUGACAAGCUAUUGUCACACGGAGGCAUUCCUGAUGCUCGCUUAAGAUUAAGGCACACGGAUAACUCACCUCGACAGCUUGUCUCACGAUGUCAUCGUUUCCCGUUCGGACGCCUGAACUUGCUGCUCCUCAUGUUGUUCCUGCUUCACACCAGCUCAACUCCCGUCUGCCAACCUGCCUCAUUAUCUCCUCUGGAAGAUCGAGGUGAUUUACGAGUAUGCGGUCGUACCCGGUGUCAUGGCCACAUAGCGAGCGUUUAUGGGGGCUUAUAGUAGACUCAAGGUCUUUGAUAGAAGGUAUAAAUCCAGUGGAAGGCCCUGGACCUCACGGCUGAUGUUUGACCUCAGUUUAUACCAGAGGC
ensembl:lncRNA